CCUACGGGCGGCUGCAGUGGGGGAUAUUGCACAAUGGGGGGAACCCUGAUGCAGCGACGCCGCGUGGGUGAAGAAGCGCCUCGGCGCGUAAAGCCCUGUCAGCAGGGAAGAAAAUGACGGUACCUGAAGAAGAAGCCCCGGCUAACUACGUGCCAGCAGCCGCGGUAAUACGUAGGGGGCAAGCGUUAUCCGGAUUUACUGGGUGUAAGGGGGGCGCAGACGGGUAUGCAAGCAAGGAGUGAAAGCCCGGGGCCCAACCCCGGGAUUGCACUUGGAACUGCGUGGCUGGAGUGCAGGAGGGGCAGGCGGAAUUCCUGGUGUAGCGGUGAAAUGCGUAGAUAUCAGGAGGAACACCGGUGGCGAAGGCGGCCUGCUGGACUGCAACUGACGUUGAGGCCCGAAAGCGUGGGGAGCAAACAGGAUUAGAUACCCCAGUAGUC
rnacentral:rRNA from 1 species